rnacentral:rRNA from 1 species
UACGUAGGGUGCAAGCGUUGUCCGGAAUUAUUGGGCGUAAGGGCUCGUAGGCGGUCCGUCACGUCGGGAGUGAAACUUGGGGCUUAACCCAAGCCUGCUUCCGAUACGGGCGGACUAGAGGUAGGCAGGGGAGAACGGAAUUCCUGGUGUGAGCGGUGAAAUGCGCAGAUAUCAGGAGGAACACCGGUGGCGAAGGCGGUUCUCUGGGCCUUACCUGACGCUGAGGAGCGAAAGCGUGGGGAGCAAACAGG